rnacentral:rRNA from 1 species
GUCGAGCGGUAACAUUUCUAGCUUGCUAGAAGAUGACGAACGGCGGACGGGUGAGUAAUGCUUGGGAACAUGCCUUGAGGUGGGGGACAACAGUUGGAAACGACUGCUAAUACCGCAUAACGUCUACGGACCAAAGGAGGGGAUCUUCGGACCUUUCGCCUUUAGAUUGGCCCAAGUGAGAUUAGCUAGAUGGUAGGGUAAAGGCCUACCAUGGUCUCAGCUGGUUUGAGAGGAUGAUCAGCCACACUGGGACUGAGACACGGCCCAGACUCCUACGGGAGGCAGCAGUGGGGAAUAUUGCACAAUGGGGGAAACCCUGAUGCAGCCAUGCCGCGUGUGUGAAGAAGGCCUUCGGGUUGUAAAGCACUUUCAGUCGUGAGGAAAGGGUUGUAGUUAAUACCUGCAAUCUGUGACGUUAGCGACAGAAGAAGCACCGGCUAACUCCGUGCCAGCAGCCGCGGUAAUACGGAGGGUGCGAGCGUUAAUCGGAAUUACUGGGCGUAAAGCGUGCGUAGGCGGAUGAUUAAGCGAGAUGUGAAAUCCCGGGGCUCAACCUCGGAACUGCAUUUCGAACUGGUCAUCUAGAGUACUGUAGAGGGUGGUGGAAUUUCCAGUGUAGCGGUGAAAUGCGUAGAGAUUGGAAGGAACAUCAGUGGCGAAGGCGGCCACCUGGACAGAUACUGACGCUGAGGCACGAAAGCGUGGGGAGCAAACAGGAUUAGAUACCCUGGUAGUCCACGCCGUAAACGAUGUCAACUAGCUGUUUGUGUUCUUGAAACGUGAGUAGCGUAGCUAACGCGCUAAGUUGACCGCCUGGGGAGUACGGCCGCAGGGUUAAAACUCAAAUGAAUUGACGGGGGCCCGCACAAGCGGUGGAGCAUGUGGUUUAAUUCGAUGCAACGCGAAGAACCUUACCAUCCC